GGGCCUGUAGUCGAAUGGUUAAGACGUCACCCUGACACGGUGAAGACUCGGAGUUCGAUUCUCCGCGGGCCCAC
rnacentral:tRNA from 1 species